GCUCCCGUUUCCAUUAUUUCAUUAUUUUAUUUAUUUAUUGGAGUUACUGGAUAAUUCUUCAUGUCCGAUUCUAUUUCUUUUUUAGGUUGCUAAUAAAUAUUGUUAUUGUUAUUAGACUAUGAUCGAGUAGUCGAGUACCCAUAUCACCGAGAUAUCCACUCACUGAGUGGUGAUCUCUCUCUCUCUCUCUGAAUGAAGUGAAUAUUUAUUUUUUCAAUAAAAAAAAUAGCAUGUAUAGUUAUUAUGGAUGUACUCGAUCAUGGUCUAAUAACAAUAACAAUAUUUAUUAGCAACCUAAAAAAAAAAUCGGACAUGAAGAAUUAUCAAUAAAUCCAAUAAAUAAAUCCGAGCAACUGGUACCGGUACCGAGCAAUCUGGUACCAGUACCGUACCGUUUAGCUGGUACCGUUAGUACCGGUACUGGUACCGGUACCUGCCCACCCCUAACAGCAAGAGCAAGAGCAAGAGAGAGGCCAAAACAAACCCCGCCGCGAGUCCAUAUUUCUACCUUUUACCCGUGCUUUACGCCGCCAAGAUGAGCGAGACGAGUGCCGUGGUGAAGCCACUCCGCGCCGUCUGUGCUCUGAAGAACAGAAGAAAGGAAGGAAGGCCAUCUUGGAAGACUCAAGGACCAGUCACCCCAGUCCAAGGAAAGGUCGCAAGAGGUCAAGGAGGUCACAGUACGAAGGAGCAGUCCAGUCCGUUGUAAAGUUACUGGAAAAGGAAGGAAAGGAUAGGGAAGGAAAUGAAAGGAAAGGGAAGGGAGGGGAAGGAACAGAGAAGUAUAUACAUAGUUAAGCUUAAAGUCACAUACAGUUAGAUACAUACAGUUACACUCACAUAGAUUUACAUACAGUUUUGAUGGUGCGUUUGACGAAGGCGGUUGACUCAGUGGGUAGCGGAUUGGCCCGGCCCAUGGUGUUAUGGACGCUCUCAACACAAGUACAGUAAACCCUCAAUAUAACGGACUAAUUUAUUUAUUUAUUUUUUUCACAUCAGAGGACACGUCUCAAGGGCAAUAAAGAGUCCCAAAAAAAGCCCGCUACUUGCUGCUCUCUCUCUCUUUUAUUGGUAAAUUUCUUCUGCUCUUUCAUUAUUUAUUUUCCUUCUCUCCUCUCUCUCUUAUUCUUCUCAUUACGUUCUGUCUCUCCCUCUUUACCUCUUCCUCUCUCAUAGGAAUAUAACACACAAACAUUACAAAUUAACUUUUUAUUAAUAGAAAAACACACAUACAUACAUACACAUAGUAACAUUGAUAAGGCUAUGUUGGCUAGGUGGGGAAGGAGGGAGGAGGGGGUCCUUCAUGAGGCUGGGGAGGGUGUGUCUGUGGGGGGUUGUCAACAUACUGUGGGGUCCUGUGAGCUGUGGUGAGGUGUGAGAGAGAGAGAGAGAGAGAGAGAGAGAGAGAGAGAGAGAGAGAGAGAGAGAGAGAGAGAGAGAGAGAGAGAGGGGGGGGCACCUCUCUCUCUCACCUCUCGAGUCUCUCACUCACUCACUCUAUGAUCUAAUGUAUAUAGUUAUGCAUAUGUUGUAUUAUAUGUAUGUAGCUAAUGUAUGUUGUAUGGACUAAUAAAAAUGAAAAAUAUAUAAAAAGGUGUUUGUCAUAUGUGUGUGUGUGUGUGUGUGUACUCUUCUCUUCUUCCAUUCUUCUUCCUCUUCUUCUUCUGAUCUUCUGUUGCAAUUACCAUCUUCUUCCUUCUCCUCCUCUUCCUCUUCUUCUUCUUCUUGGUCCCAGCAUCAACACACACCUGAGGAGAAUAACUCUAUUAAUGGAUUGGAGAGAGAGAGAGAGAGAGAGAGAGAGAGAGAGAGAGAGAGAGAGAGAGAGAGAGAGAGA